GAAAUAACGAGAUGAAAACUGGGCCAAGCUGAAGGCACAAGAUAAUCUAGUGAAGUCUUUACAACAUAUGGUGGCCAAUCUUUAUUCCAUCUGAACCCAUCACAAGGGUCGGACAAUGUUCCGGUAGUUCCACCUCAAGUUGGUGGAGUUGGGGCAGCAAAGGGAAUGAUGCCUUCUAAUGUUAAUGUUAUCACUCCGGUUGAUGGAGUUGGGGCAGCAAACGGAAUGAUGCCUUCUAAUGUUGGUGUUAUCACUCCGAUCUCCAAAAUCGCGUGAACUUCAUGUUAUGUUAUGUUUGAAACUGUUCCUUGUAUGUUGAGAACUCUUGCAUCUUGAGACUUGUAAAUUUGUGGUCUAUUGCUUUUAUGCACUAUUGCUUUUAUGUGAAAUGUUUUUCAGAAUCAAUCAUUGCUUCUUUUGUUCAGUGAUGCCUAUAUGUGACAUGUUCUAUGUGUGAUGAA